GGGCCUGUAGCUCAGGUGGUUAGAGCGCACGCCUGAUAAGCGUGAGGUCAGUGGUUCAACUCCACUCAGGCCCAUCA
rnacentral:tRNA from 2 species